CUACGGGGGGCUGCAGUGGGGAAUUUUGCGCAAUGGGGGAAACCCUGACGCAGCAAUACCGCGUGAGUGAAGAAGGCCUUUGGGUCGUAAAGCUCUUUUCUUGGGGAAGAUAGUGACGGUACCCAAGGAAUAAGCACCGGCUAACUCUGUGCCAGCAGCCGCGGUAAUACGGAGGGUGCAAGCGUUGUUCGGACUUACUGGGCGUAAAGGGCACGUAGGCGGCACAGCAAGUUAAGGGUGAAAUCCCGGGGCUCAACUCCGGAACUGCUCUUAAAACUGCUGAGCUAGAGAUAGUCAGAGGCGGGUGGAAUUCCAGGUGUAGAGGUGAAAUUCGUAGAUAUCUGGAGGAACACCGGUGGCGAAGGCGGCCCGCUGGGGCUAUUCUGACGCUAAGGUGCGAAAGCGUGGGGAGCAAACGGGAUUAGAUACCCCAGUAGUC
rnacentral:rRNA from 1 species